rnacentral:pre_miRNA from 1 species
ACAGCGGGAGCGGGAGGAAGCUGCUAGUCUCAGCUUCACUCGAUCAGCGCUGUCUU